UCUCCCACGCUGCAGUCGGUGGCUCUGGCCGGAAUCAGACCCGGAAUCGGAAUCGCAAUCGCUAUCGGAAUCGCAAUCCGAAUCGGAAUCGGAAUCUUGCCCGGAUUGCCAAGCGGACUGGGAGUGAGAGCGUGGUUCGUCACACUUGCAGUUGCAGCAGCAGCAGCAGUAGUAGUAGUGGCAAUAGUGGCAGCAGCAGAAAUCAACAAAAUCAACAAAGGCAACACAAAAGACGUAUUUUUAGUGCUUGCGUGCGAAAUUUUGUUGGUGUCAAAGUUAAACAAUUUACGUGAGAUUGCAAGGACAGGCCAAGAAGAAGCAGCAGUAG
rnacentral:sRNA from 1 species